UACGAAGGGGGCUAGCGUUGCUCGGAAUCACUGGGCGUAAAGGGUGCGUAGGCGGGCCUUUAAGUCAGGGGUGAAAUCCUGGAGCUCAACUCCAGAACUGCCUUUGAUACUGAGGAUCUUGAGUUCGGGAGAGGUGAGUGGAACUGCGAGUGUAGAGGUGAAAUUCGUAGAUAUUCGCAAGAACACCGGUGGCGAAGGCGGCGACCUGGUCCGGGACUGACGCUGAGGCGCGAAAGCGUGGGGAGCAAACAGG
rnacentral:rRNA from 1 species